AUUAUGUAAUUAUUUUAUUUUCUUAUGUUCUUGUAGAUCAUUUUAUUGUACAGAUAAAAGGACAUUUAAUAAAGAGAAAUAUAGUAACAUUUUAAUUCGACAGAAGGUAUUUUAAUCAAUAAAUUUUUAACCAAAUCAAUGAACUGUUUCUGUGAUGCAUUAUCAAACUUUCUGCAUAGCAUAAGUACAUCAAUAUGUAUCAGAAAAUGUAAUAAAAUAGGGGUGAUUUUGAAAAACAUUUUUGGAAUCUGAGGUGGAUUGUUAAGGUUAUAUCUCUUAUUUUAUUACAUGUACAUAUGCAUUUGUAUUUCAUAGUUAAUUUGAAUUUUAUCUUCUUUCUUAGUGAUAUUAGUUCCAUUUAUCGGACAAGAUAUUUUUAUGAAACAAUAUACUAUAACAGUAUCAAAUAUUUGAGUCAGGUCUAUACUUCUAUGGUCAUCCCACCUAUACAUGAUAAAAUGCAUAAAGGUAGACAAUUAUUGCUACUUAAAUGGAAAAAUCAAAUUGCUCUUGUUUGGAUCUUUCUCUUGCUUGGAUUCCAUUUGUUGAUACACAUGUCAGCGAAGAUUGCAGUGGAUACAUAGUCAUGUAAACCACAUGAAAGUCAUGUGAAGCUGCAUGAUAAAUGUUCCCUAGCAUAGCUGCUUUUCAAGGAAAUCAACAACACUGAAAAUGAUAAGUAUCUAUGUUCAAAUAUUAUAAAAGUUAUGGAGUAAAUACAUUACAGGAUUCAUAUACACACUUCAUCACUUGGUGUUUCAUCGCUGCCUUUCUCACAUUAAAACUUAACACUCUGGAAAAUGGUGGCACAACAGUUGAAACAAACAACUAUUAAAGCAAGCAACAUCUAUUUGAUUGAGAAAAGAUACAAGUUAACUCUAGAUGCACUAACUGUUCUACUGCUUCCUUACUACUAUCUAGUACUAUAAGAACAAUGUAUUCCUGACAGAUCACACAGUAGCAAAUCAAAAUGCUGACAAUAGUUGGUUAUGUUCAAUAGCCUGGACUUUGGAAGUUAUCCACAUAAACCGUAUACUCUUGUCUACUUGUCGUAAUUGUGUUAUACUUAUCCAGUUUAUUAUGAUGGUAACAAGACCACCAAGGAAUUAAUCAUACUAAAUCAUUGGGCUCAAGCUCUAGGCUAUAAAGAUAGUAUCCAGAAAAACUGAAAUUUAUGUCAGGACUUCGCUAAGAAUGAUUCUGAUAAAGCUGUUAAUAAUAUUGUGAAUUACAAAUCUGUCAAAGUAAUUAAGCUGAAUAUUGGACCAAUGCUGAUUCAUAUGUACAGCUUCGUUCUCUUUUAAAGUCUUUCAACUUAUUGUCAGUAGUCAGAUGCUUCAUUGAGGACAUAUAUCAAUGAUGGACCUCAUACUUCUUCCUACCAUGGUAUGUCCUGGAGUUCUGAAGGGUUCCUUUCAGUCACCUUCCCAGUCCUUGUGGAGUAUCUUAAUAGGAUUCUCAGUGCAUCUACAGGAGUCAAUGCAGAAGUCAAUUGGAGUCCUCCACACUGCAGACCCAGUUUUAGACUUCUUUCUCAAUUUAAAUAGUUGUUACUGUAAUCUUUAACUCUGUUGUCACCCAAUAAGUCAGUCAAAUUAUUAUUACUUUAAAAAUACCAAGAUGAAGAUGUGUAAUUCUGUAUAUAAUUGAAUUUUAUUUUAAUUCAUCAUUUUCAGUGAAAAAA